rnacentral:rRNA from 1 species
GUGAGGAAUAUUGCGCAAUGGAGGCAACUCUGACGCAGCCAUGCUGCGUGCAGGAAGAAGGCGCUACGCGUUGUAAACUGCUUUUAACCGGGAAGAAACCCCAGGACGUGUCCUGGGUUGACGGUACCGGAGGAAUAAGCACCGGCUAACUUCGUGCCAGCAGCCGCGGUAAUACGAAGGGUGCAAGCGUUCUCCGGAUUCAUUGGGUUUAAAGGGUGCGUAGGCGGAGCGUUAAGUCAGUGGUGAAAUCCUGCAGCUUAACUGUAGACUUGCCAUUGAUACUGGCGCUCUUGAGUGCGCUUGAAGUGGGCGGAAUGUGCCGUGUAGCGGUGAAAUGCUUAGAUAUGGCACAGAACACCAAUUGCGAAGGCAGCUCACUAAGGCGAUACUGACGCUGAGGCACGAAAGCGUGGGGAUCGAACAGGAUUAGAAACCCGGGUAGUCC